CUUCCCUCUCCUCUCAUCCGCCUCCUCCAUCUCCAGUCUCCUCUCUGUGUCCUGCACUCUCUUCCAAAAAAAAAAAAAAAGUCACAGGUUAUAUUUCCUCUGUACUACUUCUACAUGAAUAUAGUGAAAUUAUUUUGUAAUUGUUAGGCUGCUACUUCAGAACACUUAUUUAUGUUUUAUUACUGUCUUUUUUUCUAGAAUGCAGAAAACACAAAUACCAGAAGGUGUUCCUGUACGAGAGGGUUCUUGAGAAACGAGUGCUAAACGGAAAGGCAGAAGUAAAGAUUAGGUGGACACCAUGCCCGAAAUGUGGUAAGGUGUGGGCUGACACGUGGGAGCCAGCACAGCAGUAUGGCAGUCCUACAUAGGCCUUGGUGUGUGUUGUCCUCUGAAAAAAUUUGCUUUUAGUUCUGAUCUGCAUUUUACACAUUUGGUUUUGCCUUAAUUGUUAAUUUUUGUUAAUUAAUUGUUGUUGUUGUUAGUUAAUUGUUGUUGAUUGUAACAGUUUGUUACUUAUUAUUUUAUGUUUAUAAUUGGCAGGCACUUUUUUAUAAUUGGCACUUUAUUUUAUUUGAGACUAUAUGUGUUAACUGAAGCAGUUUUGAAAAUGUGUUUGUUAAAUGUUCAAGUUCAUCAUAAAAGUUCAAAAUAAAUUAUUCAAUACACAUUUCAGCCAGUGUCAAUCUCUGUUUCACUCUCUAACUGUGGCUUAAGUACAUAAAUCAUCCAUGAAUCUGAUCAAUAAUAUCUCACAGAAUGUAUUCCCAGCACUCGAUAUCUCACAUAUGUGGUCUACUUCUCAUAGUUUUAUAUAUCAACCAACAUUAUUGUCUACAUCAUCACCACUAUAGAAGUGACUAGGCUAUUGUAACAUAG